rnacentral:rRNA from 1 species
UACGAAGGGUGCAAGCGUUAAUCGGAAUUACUGGGCGUAAAGGGCUCGUAGGUGGCCAACUAAGUCGGACGUGAAAUCCCUCAGCUUAACUGGGGAACUGCGUCCGAUACUGGAUGGCUUGAGUUUGGGAGAGGGAUGCGGAAUUCCAGGUGUAGCGGUGAAAUGCGUAGAUAUCUGGAGGAACACCGGUGGCGAAGGCGGCAUCCUGGACCAACACUGACACUGAGGAGCGAAAGCCAGGGGAGCAAACGGG